rfam:Paxillus rubicundulus Ve08.2h10 scaffold_329_c1, whole genome shotgun sequence.
GGCCGACUAGCUCAGUUGGUUAGAGCGUCGUGCUAAUACAUUGACUGGCAGCUGUUCGUUAGCCACACUGAACAGCCGUCAGUCACGUGACGCGAAGGUCUUGGGUUCGAUCCCCACGUUGGCCA